UUCCGGUUGAUCCUGCCGGAAGCUACUGCUAUUGGGAUUCGAUUAAGCCAUGCAAGUCGAAUGAAUUCAUAUUCAUGGCAUACGGCUCAGUAACACGUGGAUAACUUACCCUUAGGACUGGGAUAACUUUGGGAAACUGAAGAUAAUACCGGAUAUUAAGCUAUGCCUGCAAUGGUUUGCUUAUGAAACGUUUUUCGCCUAAGGAUAGAUCUGCGGCUGAUUAGGUCGUUGGUGGGGUAAAGGCCCACCAAGCCGAUGAUCGGUACGGGUUGUGAGAGCAAGAGCCCGGAGAUGGAACCUGAGACAAGGUUCCAGACCCUACGGGGUGCAGCAGGCGCGAAACCUCCACAAUGUACGAAAGUGCGAUGGGGGGAUCCCAAGUGCUAUUCUUAACAGAAUAGCUCUUCAUUAGUAUAAAAAGCUUUUAGAAUAAGAGCUGGGCAAGACCGGUGCCAGCCGCCGCGGUAAUACCGGCAGCUCAAGUGGUAGCUGUUUUUAUUGGGCCUAAAGCGUUCGUAGCCGGUUUAAUAAGUCUUUGGUGAAAGCUUGUAGCUUAACUAUAAGAAUUGCUGGAGAUACUAUUAGACUUGAAGUCGGGAGAGGUUAGAGGUACUACCGGGGUAGGGGUGAAAUCCUAUAAUCCUGGGAGGACCACCUGUGGCGAAGGCGUCUAACUAGAACGAUCUUGACGGUGGGUAACGAAAGCCAGGGGCGCGAACCGGAUUAGAUACCCGGGUAGUCCUGGCCGUAAACGAUGUGGACUUGGUGUUGGAAUGGCUUCGAGUUGUUCCAGUGCCGAAGGGAAGCUGUUAAGUCCACCGCCUGGGAAGUACGGUCGCAAGACUGAAACUUAAAGGAAUUGGCGGG
rnacentral:rRNA from 1 species